rnacentral:rRNA from 1 species
GACGAACGCUGGCGGCGUGCCUAAUACAUGCAAGUUGAGCGCUGAAGGUUGGUACUUGUACCAACUGGAUGAGCAGCGAACGGGUGAGUAACGCGUGGGGAAUCUGCCUUUGAGCGGGGGACAACAUUUGGAAACGAAUGCUAAUACCGCAUAAAAACUUUAAACACAAGUUUUAAGUUUGAAAGAUGCAAUUGCAUCACUCAAAGAUGAUCCCGCGUUGUAUUAGCUAGUUGGUGAGGUAAAGGCUCACCAAGGCGAUGAUACAUAGCCGACCUGAGAGGGUAAUCGGCCACGUUGGGACUGAGACACGGCCCAACCUCCUACGGGAGGCAGCAGUAGGGAAUCUUCGGCAAUGGACGAAAGUCUGACCGAGCAACGCCGCGUGAGUGAAGAAGGUUUUCGGAUCGUAAAACUCUGUUGGUAGAGAAGAACGUUGGUGAGAGUGGAAAGCUCAUCAAGUGACGGUAACUACCCAGAAAGGGACGGCUAACUACGUG